ensembl:lncRNA
UGCGUGUUCUAGAGUUUAUAUUUAACUCUGGGCCCUCUGGCUAAGAACAACUAGUUUUGUGAAUAAACAAGCAGAAAAACAACAACUAUGUUUUGCAUUAAAGGGAUGAAUUGAGGUGCUUACAACAUCUAAAUGGUCAUUUAUUAACGUUCUACAUAAGGAGCCGACCUCCUGCAGGGAUUGCCAAUGUUUCCACUGUCAGCAGGGUAGCAGCCGAAGGAAGGUUCGUCAGCGUGCCUUUGCCUCAGAUUUGGUCUUGAGAGUUGCAACUGUGUAAGGACAGUUGCUAUCAACCGGAUACCAAGAGCUCCUCACCCUCACUCAAUUUUUCAAUGAGGUAAAUUAUUGCGGUAAUAAAUAAUAAUUAAUUUCCACAUUCCUUCUACUCACUGCAAGUUUAUUCAUUUUUUUUGUCCCUUAAAUUUGUUUUGAUAUUAUUAUUGUUCAUUCACUGUUAAUAAAUAUUCAUAUUAGGCGCUAACUGGAAGUGUAACGUGCAAUCAUGUGUUAAUGCACACUUUCUGUAUUUGUAAUAUAUACUAAGCCCAGGGUACCUAAGCAAUCACAGCCUUCUCUUCUUCCUUUAAUGCAUCAGUGGGCCACAAAAAAGAUUAGUAGACCUAUCGGCAUCCCUCCAUUCCAGACAGACACGAUAAAUGGGAAUGGGACAAAGUGUUUCAUGGCUUAACCUUUAGACUAACAUGUAUAAAGAACAUGAAAAAUAUCUCUUUCGAGUUUAAACAUUAUUUUCGCGAUGACCUUUUUACUGCACAAAAGCAGAGCUGUGCUACUGGCAUGGGAGAAAUGCUUUCGAAUUACCACAAUGAAAAAGGCUGGAAGAGAUUACCGAACCAAAUCAAAUGUUUGAGACUAUCGACACUCAAAGCAAUCACACGCUGACAAAAAAGUCAAUGUUUAAAGUUGUAAAAAUGUAUUUCACCUGUCUUCAGUAAAUUGUAAGGAUACAUUAAAGCUAGAUAGAAACUCCUCUAUUAUUGUGUACCUUUUAUAUAGUAAGAAUUAAAAGUAUCCAAUCUUCCCUCCAAAUGUAUACUUCUCCUAAAUUAAUUAAUUUCUUUAUAAGACACAUUCAUUUAUAAGCCUAACAGGAAGAUUACAUUGGUUUUAAGGAUAUUGGAUUUGAACAAAUUGCAUGACGGAAUAUGAUCAUGUUCACUUUCAUGGCUCUUAUGCAGGAGUGUAAGGUUUCUGAAAGGAUGUGGAUGUUUAUUGAGAGUACUACGCAACCUUCUUAGAUAUAAUUUGCAAUGCAUACAUCUAAAAUGGAAGAACCCUUUACAUUAGAAAAUGUUUUAAAGGGCACAUGCCAGGUUUUUGGUAUGCGGUGAUGAUCGAGUAAGCACCUGAAUAUGACAAAAUGAUAGAAAGUCUUUGUGAAACCGGACAAAAGUCUGCUUAUAUAUUGUUUUUUCAGUAGUCCAGAUUUUGCCUUUUAACUUCAGUGAAAAUGGAAUGUAUUUUAAUCUCAUAACCAGUACAGUCGAUGAAGAGUUUUUCCUCCUCAUCUGCUGUUGUUUACAAACUCUACGUUGAAUACUAAUACAUCCCUCUUUUUAUUAUUCCUUUACAGCCGUUGGGCUGCUGCAACGCAAACGGGAACCACUUUUUAAAAAUGAUCUAUACUUCUAAUGCCUAUGAUUAGAGCCUUUACAGAAAGUAGUGUCCCCUACAUGAAAAAAAAUGAAUUAUUAAUGUGGAAGUUUUAAUGGGCUUGGAGCAGAUCUCCAGCAGAUAUUUUAAUCAAUAUUAUUUUCUACUAAGAUGAAAACAUUUAACUAUCAAUCGCGUGAUUUUCUGUGAACAGCAAAUAAUGGCAUUAUGCGCAAAAAACUGCAUUCUACGCUUUUAUUUUAAAGUACUGUUAUCAGAACAAUACAAGUGAGUGAGCUUAAGUGUACUAUCACAAAAUAGUUUCAGUCAGUAAAAACUGUGGAUUACCUUUGAAUCUCAAAGAAAAGACACUUUCAAUGAUGCAGGUUGAGCACUAAAACAAUGUCCAAAUUAACUUUUAAUGUUUACUUUUUUAUCCAUUCCUCCAACUUGACGUUUUCUUUCUCCUCUGCACCAGUUGCUGAGAGACACAACUUUACUUUUUCAGAUGUUAAAGAACCUCUCUUCUUUUGAACAAUAUGAUCAGCAAAAGAAAACCACCUUUCACACGGUGCAGAUGUUGUACUUCCAACUGCUGUGUAAUCCUGCUAAGUUAGAGCAUCCGUUGGUGCUCAUGCUAACGUUGACUCUCUUGUGUUUCUGACAUAAGAAGAGGAACAAACAAAGCUUCAGACACAAUCAUUUUUUUUAAGUUUCUUAAUUUAAUUUUUCAAAAUUAGGUUUUGCCAGUUGACAUUACAGUAAUUUCACAUAACCUGCUAUCGCACCUUGUGUGGAGAGAAUAAAACUCUGCUCUCACCUGGAAGAAAAGAUCACUGUUUUUUGUCCCAGAAACACCAGAAUGUACCGAUUGAUGUCAAUUUUUGUGUUUAUUUUUCACAAAAUACUUUCAGAGGAACACAGCCGCAAAAUUUCGUUCACUAGGUUUUUGUCCACUUGUUUUGCGUUUAUUGUGUUCCCAUGAACAAGAUGUGAAUGCCAAAAAAAAGAUAGUAGAUGGAAUAGAGAUACAAGAAAUAAAAAUACAAAAUCCCUUAAAAAAUGUUAAUGCUUUACAACGUUUUGCACGUGUUGGCUGAUUCCAAAAUCUGCAAUCAACUACAAUACAUCCGUAUUAUUCAAAAAUGAGCAAUUGAUGUAUACUAAAGAAAUGUUUGUCUAAGAUCACAUAUAAAUGUGAUAGUUUUCGUUUUGCAUUUUACUUUAAAUGCCUCAGUGUUUUUCAUCUUCAAGCACUUCCCUCACCCGGUGGUGGAUUCAGGCCUGGUAGGAUGUAGCAUGGGAAUUGGCGAAUGUAGGCAUCUUUAAGUGGUACGCAUGAGAUAAUUGGUUCAAUAAUAAUAAAAGAACAUGUCACUCCUCGUCAGUUGGGAUCGUGAAUGUUUCCGUUUGUGUGAACUAUAAUAACACAUUUGAUGUUACUGCAGUAUCCUCCCAAGGAAUUUAGGGAUGACACCUUCUCAAUUCAUUUAUCUUUUAAUAUUUCAUCAAAGACUUGACUGCCGCUGUUAUACAGGGAGGUUUGCAAAAGUAGCACCUAAAGAACUGGUUCAUAACUGUUUCAAUACAUGGGAAUUGUCAAAUCAAUCCAAUUCCCGCCGUGUGUUUUGUUUGUCACAAAAUUUGCAUAAUGCUGUGCGUCUUAGCCGCUGGGAACGCUGUAGUGUGUCCAAUAAUUAUCUAGACAUAGCCCGACCAGUUUUGUAACCCGGUGGGAUUUAAAUUGGCGGGUUGUGGACUGCGGCUCGUAGCCGGAGAGUCUUUGCUUGAGACUUUUCCCAUCCAGGCUUCGGCCUUCAGCUUUUCACUUUUUUGCUACCUUCUGCUGACUGACUUUCUGGGAUUGAUUUCUCUCACCAUAAUGCACCCUUACACACACAUAUGGAGAAAGACAAAACUUUUUUUGGUCUCUGAUCACCCUUCACUUUGUCAAUUUGGUUAAAAGUUAACUAAUGUAAAUGAUGUCCAAUGUAAAAUGAUGUCAGAUAAUUACAACUAUCCUGUUUACAAAGAAUAAUCCAAAGAAGAUUUGUUUCAAGGUCAAUAUUUCAAGCUCCUUCUUUUUUUUUAAGCGCUCUACAAAUGAAAUGUGUUAUUAUUAUUAUUACUAUCAUAUACAAACCUCUUGAGGGUGUAAAUUCCUUACAUUCAAAAGGCAGCUUGAAAAAGAAAAAGGAUGAUGAAUUGUUUAAAUCUUUGCAAAUGUGUCUUUUGUUCUUUUGUUUAGUUCUGCUCCAGGAAAUGUUUUCAACUGCUUUUAAAUUCUGUGCAAUAUCUUUGCAGAUGUCGCCAUUUCAAUAUGUUAGUGAUUAGUGAUUCAUCCCCUUCUCUCCUCUAAUCUUCACCUCUCAUGUCACUCUGAUUUGCCACUUAAAGGUCAAAAUGUGAAAAAUUCAAAUAAAUACCACCUCACACAACUUCCUAACAGAGUGAGGGAUGACUCAUGUACACAGACACAUUCCCACACCGAUGGAUCAACCGAGGCCGCUUGGUUAGUGGCACCAAGAUCAAACCAUUACGCUCCCUCUUGCGUCAGUUGAAAAGAUGUCAAUAUAUGUUCAUCAUACACAUAUUGUCAGCUAGAAUUAAACAUCCUCUUUAAAGGCAGUGAAUUUUAGACAACAAAACCAUUUCUGCUUAGAAGAAGAGCAUGGUUCAAAGUUAACCUCACAUAUUAACUCGGCGCAGCUGAAAUGGAGUUUGAUUACAACCUCUUGCUGCAGCUCAUAUUGUGAAAGUGUGAAUGUAUAUUAAGAUCUGAAUACAAUGUUUGGCUCCCUACUAAGCAGAAUCCCUUCUUUCUAGUCUUUGCAGCAAGAAUACGGAUUGUGCUAAUGUAUUGAGAGGCGUUUUUUAAUGUCAGGAAUAGCAAAAAAAUGUGCAUACACUAUGAAGCAAAGUGGGAGAAAAACUGGGGACAGUUAGACAAACGGUCUAUUUUGUAUGAUCAUUUUUUAUAUAUAUAUAUAUAUAUAUAUAUAUAUAUAUAUAUAUAUAUAUAUAUAUAUAUAUAUAUAUAUAUAUAUGAUACGGUGCAUAUGAAGCCAAAAGAUCUACACAAAACAGAUCAACUGGAUUUAUGAUUUCAUUACGAGCUUGCUUUGAUCUUAAAAACUCGAUUAUAACCCAAUAAAAUACGAAGGAAGGCACAAACCGAUGCCGCGUGAUUGGUGCCUUUUAUGCACAUGGAAAAUGAAACUAUUCUAGGAAUUCCUACAAGCAGAGUAUCUGUCGUCAACAUGCCUUGUCUCGAUACUUGGAUAAAGGCACAAAUAAAGACUGAGGAAACUGACACAGAGGGAGGAACACACCAAAAGACAAAUACACUGCCUUUCUCCCAUUUUGCCACAUCUUCACAUCCACAUCAACACCUCAAUUCCUCCUCCUCUUCAAUAUCAGCCACCUGCGUAUGAAGAAGCACUGCUAACCUUCAGAGAAUGCACAGAGCUUCAGAGCCACAGCUCAUCUCCAACCCGCAGUCGCCCCACAUUUUAAGUCAGCAGUGAUACGUUAAGGAAAAUGCAUAUUUCACUGUAAACUGCGGGAACCAUGUAUUGAUGUUCAGAAUCAGAAGUUGCAAAUGUUGUAAAUAAUGUUGUCUUGUGUUAGGGAUUUAAGCCAGAAGUGCACCCCUAGUCAGGAAAUUAUAGUACGUGUAAUAAUGUUUAGUGUUAGAAUUAUAGUUUGUGUGAUGUUAGAUAUUAGGUAUUACAUUAACAUGUUAGAUGAAGUGAAUACAAUUUGAAUCAAACACAAUUCAUAGUCAUUUAAAUCGUAUAAACACUGUACACCUUAACAUUCUGUCACAAUGUGAUGUUAAAACCUGGGGACGGAUGCUAAUUGCCGUCCUUUAUGGAUUUCUCCCAAUUUUAUCCCCAAAAGGUUUUUUUGGGAGUUUUUCUUCUGUCAGGUAGUAAAUGAACAACUUAAUGUAAGGCAGCCGACUGAGGCAAAUGUCUUGAGAAUUGGACCACAUGAACUGUUUUAGAUCUUAUGAUGAAGUGUGAUGAACGGUGAUCAUUAAUGAUGGGUUGUUGUAAUGAAGGUGUACUAGUUAUAAGAUGAAGACUUAAACGAUGUAUGCUUUGUUAAAUUCACUCAUUGAGGCAUAAAGCCAACUGUAUCUACAUUGAAUGCAUUGGAAUGUGAGGGACAGAUAGUACAGUGAGGUUUCAGGUUACAGCUGCAGCUUCACACCUCGACGUGAAGGGGACAAUCCAGGAGGUGACCCUUUGAAGAAGAAGCCAAUGACAUUCAAAUGCACCCAAGAAGACACACCUCAAGAGUUUUCAAAGGACCAAAGCGGGGAAAGGACUGUGAGAAUUCUCCUGCAGCCGCUUUGAUAAGUGGCUUUAGACUUGCUCAGAGGAUUCUCUAUUUCGCGAAAUAUUUAACUGUUCGCUUAGUAUUUCACUUUGUAAUUGUAUCCCUUAUAAUGUUGUUUAGUUAUUAAAUACUUUUUGAUUUUUGAAUUUAAACGAAUUGACUCAUUCGUGUCCUCGUUUCCGGCCGGGACGAGAACAAAGGAGUGAGGCCUCCCUUGAGAGCUUUCCGAAACCCUAACACUUGUCAUUUUUAUGGGAACACUUCCAUUUUACUUUUAUUGAAGAUCUUUUGCCUGAAGAUAUUUAUUUGGUUCCAACUUACUUCAGUGAUAUCACAGUAGCAAAAAGAGCCACACUAAUGUUGAACAGAAAAACGUUCAUGGCCCGAAAAUACAUACAGGUUUGUCAUGAAGUUCCAUUAAAGUCUGCAUUCAGGGCUGCGCAAAGGGCCAAAUCCACUCCGUUGAACCGUGUUUUUAAACAUCUUUCAGCGGAAAAAAACAUUUCUACCUAUUGAUCAUUUUAGUUCAUAGUUUGAUAUUGUGGCCUUGAUCCUCAACCAACAGAACUCAUAGGGUGCAUGUCAAGGGAAUUGCCCUCAUCCACAGCAUCACCUCAGGGCUGUGUCCAUUUUCUGCACCUCUAUUUUCCGUAUACCUAAAAGUGCAGCAACAAGCACAGCAACAUUCAAAGUUGCAAAGUUGUCUCAGCUAACUUAGAACCUCAAGCAAUGUCAUGCCAACUUAGUGAUUUCGGUAGACAGGAAAAUGUGUAUAACUCAAUAAGUGUGUACCUGUUAUAUGUCCUGCAGGGAAGCACCUGUGAUAUUUAUGUUUCUCCACCAUUCACUUGUUCCUAAUUUGUCACUUGUCUAUACGUAUAGAUUGUAUAUACAGUACAUACUACUCCAUAUGUGAAACCAAACCUAAGCAGAGGCUUCUUUUUUCCCCUGGUGUUUGGAGCCCACAGCUGAUGACCCAAGUGUCACAAUGGCACUGGAAGACCUCAUUUUAAGUGACCUUAAUGACUUCUGAAUCCUGACUCAAUUACCCCUGCUUAGUCACCCCUCCCCCCUCUCACCUUAUCCAUGUGCCUCCCUCGAUCUCUCCCUGUUUCGCAAGCAAUCUAUUAGCAUAGAGCUAUCUUUAACCUACCUCUCUCAUUCUUUAAUGAAGUGAGGGAAUAGGUGAAGCGUAUUUAAUGAAACCAGAGUGUGACCAUCCUGCCUAAAUCAUCUGUGCGGGUUAAAGAGCAAAUGGCUCUUUACAAUUGAUCAUGCUGACUGUAAAGCUUUGCAAUUUAGAUAGUUACUGAUCUCAUUGUCAAACUAAAUGGGGUAUUUUUCAUUUCUAGUAAGUAAAAAUGUUAAUUUUCUCUGUGUGAUUAAGACUUCACACAAGGUAUAUUGUUGAUACUGUAGCAAUCAGCGGAAACAACUGUAUCAAAAAAGCUUGACUUACUUGAUUUUCAGUUCUUGUACGUAAACAGUAAUUAGUAGUAAGUAACUAGUAAGUAAAAAUCAAUCAAUCAAUAAUCACAGAUUAAUACUACAAACAAUUAAAACAAGCACCUGUUUCAUUUAUUACUUUUUUUUAUCCGCAAUAUUCAGUGUCAGGGGUGUCUGUGAAAUAAAAUGUUCAUGGAACACAUUCUACAACUGUUUUAUUUAGCCUUCAAAAAGCUGCAUAACAGGAGACAGAUGCAGCUCUGUGAACUGUGAAGUAUGCACAGGUCUUAACCCCACACCCAAAGUUAGCCCCAAAUGGAUUUCCGGCAUAUUCAUGAGUCCUUGUGAAACAAAAUGUCUACAACGGAUGUUGCUGAAAAUGGCUCCAACGUUUAGUUUUUACUCAUGGUUUUUGUUUAUUCUCCUGGCCCCAGUAACAGUGUCUGGAGCCACAUAUUCAGUGGCCUGAGGACAAAAGCUCUGUCAGUGAAUAUGAACUGUGAUCAAAAUACAGCACACACACACAACUGAACUGAUGACUGAUUAAAUGCAGUAAAAACCAAACACAAUCAACAUUGCAUUUCUCAUUCUUCAACCAAAAUACAGUUUAAAUGCAUCGCCAAAUAGUCUAUGUACCUACCACAAAACACAUUAUUGCAUUAGAGGGCUAAGUGUGAAUGUUUGGGAAAGGUCACUCGGAAAGUAGGACAUGAUUGGCGAGUGGUUAUUUGCAGUCAGUCAUCGUUGUGACGUUAAAAUCCAUGGGGAAGAAGACUUGCCCCUCUCUCCCUGGCUGAAAUUGACUACCAAUCGAUGAUGUAGGAAAUUGGUCGGUGGCGUAGAGUUAUAGGCUGUGGAGCGGCGGGGCUGAAAUUGUUUGGUGAGGCAUUAGCUAAAGAUUAUUUAUGAUCAUACAUAUAAUUCUGCUGACACAUCGGCAGUUAGGUCCUGGACUACGGGUCUUUCACUCUGCACCAAAUGUUUCCGUCUUCUUAUUUUAAAUAGGAGACUUGGAAUUGUAUUUAGCUGCAAAUGGCCACUCUGUGAUUAUACGCUGGAAUCCAAAUGAGGAUCAUUUACUCAUCGAAAGUGUCCUUUUUCGGGGGCUCGUCUGCAAGAACAAAUGUGUUGCACCCUCAUUGCUGUUUUCUCAUUUAGCUCUUUCUUUUUUCUCUGUCUUACAUUUUUCCCCCUUAUAUUUUCUGGCUGCACUGGUCUCAUUUCCUUCUUUAUUUCGCUUUUUCUUUCUCGUUUGCUCUCUUUCUACAGGACCACAGGGACGUGGAGAUGAGCUUAUCACUUUCUGCAUCACAGGACCAAGCUGUCAUGCUGGCGCUGUCUGUCUGUGCCUGUGCGUGCGUGUGUGUGUGUUUGUGUGUGUGUGGGAAAAGGAUGCGAGGAACACUUGCAAGUGUAGGUCGACUCUAGAACAAUGCAACUUUUUUACACUUAGUUCUGUUUGGAGACAGUACUUGAUGAUGGGAUGCAUCCACAGAUUUUGACCAUUUCCUGCCUAGUUUGGACAGGGUGUCGGUGUAUCAGCUCUAUCAGGACGAGGAGCCUCCUGGAUAAAAGCCCGGGCAAUCACCAGUAAUGAAACGGUAAUUUAAAAAUGUAUCCCACAAUCAGGAGAAGGCAAACAUCCCUUUAGCUUUGGUUGUAGAUUUACAUAUUUACCAAAAAGACAGAAAGGGGAUGACUAACUGUAAAAUAGGUAUUUUUUAACAAUACGUACAGAGAGAAUUCUUCAUCACACAUUUGAUCUGAAGUAUGUUUAGCUGACGCAGAUUGUGUUCAUCACAAGCUAGAUGUUUUGAUUUUUAUACAGUAUACAAUUACCCAAUUUAGAUACUUUAAAAAAAAUCUAUGUUUUUAGAUACGACAACGACCAAGCCAGGGAUAAGGUCACUGACUCGCCUACAAAUGCAGAGGCUGGCAUUCCGUAUUCUGGGUUCAAUCCUUCUUGUUUUCCAUGUGGAAAUCUCCAUCCCCUGAACUCAACACCCCCCCAGGGACAAAGCCGGUGUAAGGUGUAUCACCCCUCAAUGGAGAGUGAAUACCAAAUAUUCCACUAUCCACCCGAGGAGAGAUUUAUGUGUACGCCGAUCCGUCCACAGUAAUGGCGGCCACAACAAGUAGAUAGGUUAUCAAAAAACGCUAUAGUGCUGAGAGAUGUGCUUUCUGAGAGCAUAACGUCCAAUAUAGCGUUUGUGAAUGGACAUUAAAUGAAAUUAAAACUGGUUCAGAUAGAUAAGAAGAGAAUCAUUCAAAGAAACACUUCUCACAAUGUGGAAAAGCAGUGUUUCACUGCUUCUGCUUGAAAGUUUCACAGUGCUGCAGCACGUUCCCGGGGUCGGGGGGGCACUUUGUGCAUUACUGCAGCAACGAGAGACGUUAAUCCUCUGGGGUUUGGCAAAAACAAUAUGUUUAGGUGGUUUUAGAUUACAAUUUAAACAUGUCUGAUGUCUUGAAGACGUGUCUAGUCACGUUGCGUGAUUGUUUUCCUAACUCCGCUUGUAUGAAUAUUAAUGUCUUUACUCGGGUUUUUGCAACUUUUGAAAUUCAUUACAACUAAAGCCACACAGCUUUAAAUUGUCUUCACUAUUCCAUGUACAGGAGCCUGUGGAAUUAUCACUCGCAGUGGAAUGGAUUAGCUUAUCUGUUGCACUACUGGUGAAGUACCCAAAUGUAUGGGAGACGGUAGAAGAGAGCAAAAUGAGGUUCAAAUGGGGCUACAGGUAGUACAGAAAUAUUGUGAGGUACAACGAGACAUUGUUGGUGAAGAUGUGAGGAUGGUUGAAACUUAUGCUGUAUAUGAACAGCAUAAGUGACUUGUUUAAAGGGCCUCGUCCUAUAUUCACUAAUGAUGAAACAGAGAUCAUAUAUGUCGGAAUAUGUUGGCCACAGUGACCGUGUGUCAUUGCAGGAGGCGGCUGAGUCUUUUUUUUGACUCACCAGAGCUUCAGACCAAUCCUUUACGACUUGUGCACAACUAUUUUAGAAAAUACAGCCAUAAAUGCAUAAUCUGAUAGCCCAAAAUGACCCACACAAUACAACUACACAAGGAGUACUACCUCACUAAAUGGUUGUGGGGGGGGGGGGGGGGGGUAACAGAAUCCGGGAUUAUAGCAUUCAGCAUAGCAUUAUCAUAGCAUUCAUAUAUUAGCUGGGCUCAGAGCGGAUGACUCGGAUAAAGCCUUAGGGCCAAAUCUGAUGCCUCUAUUGGGGAAUUAAAUCAGUAACUAACCAAUAAAGUAUCCGUGUCUGCUUCAGUAUUUCAGGAUUGACAGAUAUAUUUUCUUGAGCCAUACUUAGGGAAAAGCUUGAGCAUUUCUCUAACUGCUGGGGCCUAUCCGCAGAAAAUCUGAUUAAAUUGAGUGUUUGAGUGCAUGCGUUGGACAGCCUGCGUUUAGUUCUGCAGGGCAUGUGAGACGUUGAGAAAAAAGUCCUGAACAGAAGUAGUGAUCAUUCCUCUCAAGGUUGAUUGCGGAAAUAAAUUGCUCAGUCGAUGGCGGUUUUCUCCCUUCUGGGGCGCGUUUAUUGAGAAUGGCGGGAAAUAACCACAACGUACUGCGAGUAACAAGAUGCCACAUAUUUUUACCUGUUUGGUUUUAACGCAGCUUUAAGACUGAAUAAUACAAUAUAAAUCAAUUUGUUUCUUUUUGAAGAGGAGUGUGCUUGGUGUUUAUCCAUCUAUUACCUGCUGUGGAUGGUGUCACGCCCCCUGUUGGGACGGGCAGACCAAAGUUACUAUCUCUGGAGCAAAGUAAUGCACUGCUGUAGACGCUGGCUGCCAAAAAACAUUAUUUAGUCAUUUUAAAGACUAUCCUAAAAAUCCAUUUCGGUUUAGGUGCACGCUGUAUUUAUAAUAUUUUCCCACAUGGAGCGAAAAGCACCCAAACGGAUUAUGUGAGAGAUCAUGGAUAUGUUUCACAGUCAGUUCUCUGGAAAAAAGGACUGUCAGACGUCAAGAUAAAGCCCUGAAAAUAUACCAAAUAAAGCAUUUACAUGAAGGGUUAUUGAUUCUAUUCAGGGAGCCUUUCUUUUAGGUGGCUUAAGUACAGGUUUUUCUGCUGCCCCCGUCAACAGCAGGGUAUUGAUUUGCUCUUGUGUCUGUACUAACGUCGGUUUCUUAAAACCGCCGAUUGUGCAAACUGCAGCCAACAUCAGGUAAUACACUGACUAUGGAUAAGUGCAUUAAACAGCCACACCCUGGAAAAAUAUACUUUUCCUAAGCAGAGAGCUGCUUGCAGUUAUGUAUGAAAAGCAACAUUAUUAUUUACUUUCAUUUGGGAUUCCUUCAGAUUUUGAGUAAGUGUUACUCCUUAAAACCUGCUGCAGGAAACAGCAUUAUUAGUAGCAUGCAGUGUAGCGCACUCUAAGGCCCUAUGAUAUAUCCGAGAAGGGAAUAAAUGAACCUGACAAUAAAUGAUGAAUUGAUGUUAAUAAGUAAUUAUUGAAGCACAGCAGACAUCAAGUCUACAUGCGCUCAAAUGGGACAACCAAGAAUAAAUGGUAAAUGGUAAAUGGCCUGUACUUGUAUAGCGCUUUUCUAGUCUUCUGACCACUCAAAGCGCUUUAACACUACAUGACAUCAUUCACCCAUUCACACCCAUUCAUACACUGAUGACAGGAGAACCAUACACAGUGACACCUGCCAUCAGUAACUACCAUUCACACACUGUAGUCGCAGCUACAGGAGCAAUGGUGGGUUAAGUGUCUUGCCCAAGGACACAACGACAUGCGGGUUAGCCGGGCCUGGGAUCGAACCCACAACCCUCUGAUUGGAGGACGACCGUGCUCCCCACUCACCCACAGUCGCCCGAAUAAAUGCUGACUUCCUGCAAUGCACUCCCCAUGCCCCAUGUAUCCAUAAACAAUUAAUAAUCAUCAAUUUCAAAACGGGCAGCUAUGACCCUACUUUUAAUUAUAGGACACAUGAAGAAAUUAAUUAAAAUGUUUGUAACUUAAUAUGAAAGGAGUGAAACGUCUUGAAACCACUCUCUAGUCAUUACCAACCUUCAUGAAUCUCUCCAUGCAGAAUUGUAGAAAACUGACAUUAGAGUUUGGUGGCAACCGAAAUAUUUGUACAAAGCCUGGAGUCAGAAGCGUGUCACCCUUUUAACUGUGUUACUUUUGUUGUGUUUUGUUUGUAGAUGAAAUGGCUCAGAUCUUUUUCAAAAUGGCCAGGCACACUGGACAAAUUAUUCAGGUAUGUGCUUUGAUCCCCUCCUGGCCUUCAGAAGCCUCGGGGCCUUCAAAGAGCUGCAUGACUGAAAGAGGACAUAGCUCACAAGAAGCCUUCUCGAUAUGCCCUCGUCAUUGUUCAUUUUGUUUAUGAGUUAAUGAAAAUGAUCUAGGAGCCCUGGAAGAAAUAAACGUUUAAAGAGAUUACAAAGUUAAAUGUAACAAUACUGCACUGAACCCGUAGUGCAUUUUUUAAAAUUCAUACCAGAAUGAAUGAAUAAAGCAACAAAAUGACUCUGGGCAGAUAAUAUGACCAACAUGAUUUUUGA